UACGUAGGGGGCGAGCGUUGUCCGGAAUGAUUGGGCGCAAAGGGCGCGUAGGCGGCCUGAUAAGUUAGGAGUGAAAGUCCUGCCUUCAAGGUGGGAAUUGCUUUUAAUACUGUCAGGCUUGAGUACAGGAGAGGAAAGCGGAAUUACCGGUGUAGCGGUGAAAUGCGUAGAGAUCGGUAGAAACACCAGUGGCGAAGGCGGCUUUCUGGACUGAAACUGACGCUGAGGCGCGAAAGCGUGGGGAGCAAAC
rnacentral:rRNA from 1 species